rnacentral:rRNA from 1 species
GAUGAACGCUGGCGGCGUGCUUAACACAUGCAAGUCGAACGAAGCACUUUAUUUGAUUUCCUUCGGGAUUGAUUAUUUUGUGACUGAGUGGCGGACGGGUGAGUAACGCGUGGGUAACCUGCCUUGUACAGGGGGAUAACAGUUGGAAACGGCUGCUAAUACCGCAUAAGCGCACGGCAUCGCAUGAUGCAGUGUGAAAAACUCCGGUGGUAUAAGAUGGACCCGCGUUGGAUUAGCUAGUUGGUGAGGUAACGGCCCACCAAGGCGACGAUCCAUAGCCGACCUGAGAGGGUGACCGGCCACAUUGGGACUGAGACACGGCCCAAACUCCUACGGGAGGCAGCAGUGGGGAAUAUUGCACAAUGGGCGAAAGCCUGAUGCAGCGACGCCGCGUGAGCGAAGAAGUAUUUCGGUAUGUAAAGCUCUAUCAGCAGGG